rnacentral:lncRNA from 1 species
CUGUGCUCUUGCCCUGCAAGUCCCAGGCAGGGUGUUCCUUGGAAAGACUGGAGAGUUUGGCUUGGAUUCUCCCCUCUUCCGGGUCCUGUAAAAAUAGGGAUCCUAUGCUUCUCUGACUCAUUCUCUGAGCCCAAGACCCACCAGGCCCUGCAGCUGGCCACCACCUCCCAGGGCUAUGGGCCCUCCAGGGAGGUUCUGCACAGAAGAGGGAGGGGCCUUAAAGGACCGGAGCCUGCUUUCAGACACUUCCGACCCCUGAGGUGAGGCCAGAAGGCAAGGAGGGGGUCAAGCGACUGCAGCCUUGUGACUUUUCUGAGGGUGGACUGGGGGCUGCAG